UUGGAGGGAACUGUGGGAGUUGUAGUUUUCCUUUCACAGAUUACUUGGAAGCUUUCUCCCCUCGCACGCGCGCCCCGUUCGCUGCCUCAGAGGAGAGUGCGUAGUAAAGGGAGGUGGGGAGAGAGAGGAAAGGAGCCAUUAUCAGUGGAUUGAUUCUGAAGCGAAGGAGUUUCCCAUCAUGCUUAACUCACCUACUUUGGACUUCCAGAAGAAGCUGUGAACUUUAAAGGAGAACAAGUACCUUCCUUAAUUUUAUACAGCACAGCUUCUCAGGAGAAUUGUUUGGUAUUUCUUAUUUUGCCACCGGCGCUGGUUUUAAAGAGCUAUAUGAGAAAGUCUAAAAUAAUAUUUUGUUGUCUUCACAAGAGCAGCCCAAUGAACUCAAGGAAGCCAUUAGAUUUUUGGAAACGUAGAAGAACAGUACAGUCAUACCUCAGUUCUCGAAUGCCCUGGAACUCGUAUGUUUUGGCUCCCGAACGAUUAAAAACCAGAAGUGAGUGUUCCAGUUUUCGAACGUUCUUUUGGAAGCCAGACGUCGGUGGGGCUUCCUGCAGCCAAUCAGAAGCCACGCUUUGGAAGUUCAACGUUUCAGAAAUCAAACGGACUUCCGGAACAGAUUCCGUUCGACUUCCAAGAUAUGACUGUAGUUAUGUGGCAGUGGGCAUGGAGUAAGGAAUUAUAAGAAAUAAUUCCCCGCACCCUUGACAAACUGCACAUUUAUUUAAAGUAUAUGCAACUGCUGAUUGUGGCCAAAUCACUUUAAAAACAAAACUUUACCAGAGAUAAAUUAAAACUAUUUGUUUCAUUACAUCUUACAUUGUAUUUUAAAAUGGCAAAGGCAGCAGCUUUACUGGCAUUCUUCCUUGUUUCCUUUGUACAGCAGUUAAUAAUUGCAAUUUGGAUAGUUUACAGAAUCCUCAUGCCCAUUCAUGCCUGUGGUGUAUUUGUCUGUAGAGUGAAUAUUUCUUGUGGAAUCAUGGGUGUGGGCUGUAAACAGCUUUUUGCUCUAGAUUUUCAUUUGCCUCAGGUAUCUGGGUGGGAUGCUUGUUCUGUCAAAUUUGUUGAGACCUCUUUUCCCAUUUAAGUUGAAGAGAGCUUUUUACUUUCCAGCUGCACUAUACUCAAGAUUCACAGGGAAAGGAAAACCAUAUUAGGGAAAGAAUAAAUGAAGGAAUGGGGAAUAUGACUGUUUAAUGCUGCACUUUUAAAGGGACCAAUAUGAACCCAAUAUUUAUUGGGAAUAAAUGGAUCAGCUGGGGCUGCAUUGACUGAAUUCCCUCAACCUGGCUCAGCCAGAGAUAACAGUGGUAUAAUGCUUCCAUUCCAGCUCAGUCAAAUCACUCUCAGCUGAUUUGUAAAGCCCUAAAAAAGGAUGUUUUGAGCAGGAGAGACUUAACCCUAUUCCUAACCCCUUUCAGCUUAAUAAUAUGCCAAACCCAUUGGAAGUUACACUAGCAAAAAGGGUAAGUCAAAUGAUUUGUUAGAGGCUUGUUUUCCCUCUGCCAGGCUCAUAAAUCCUUCAACAUUUCUCAGGUGAAAUUCCGUCAUGAUAAUUUUCGUCCCAUUCCGUCAUGAUAAUUUUACUUUUUAUACCCCACAUAUCUUACUGUGUUGCCCCAGCCACUGGGCAGCUUCCAACAUAUAUAAAAACAUAAUAAAACAUUUUUAAAAACUUCCCUAUGCAGGAUUGCCUUCAGAUGGCUCAGGAAUUGGGUAACCCUAGACCACCCAACAUUUCUUCAAUGAAAAUACUGUAGGAACAUCCUAAGAAAAAGUGGGACAUUCUGGGAUUAAAUCAGAAAGCAGGAUGGCUUCCCUAAAUCAGGAACGUCCCUAGAAAAUAGGGAUACUUGGAGGGUCCGGGCUCAGACCAUCUCAACCAGUUGUAGCCCUAUGCCUGAAAGGAGUUUGGAAUAGGGGUAAAUUACACUGACAUAAUUUACCCCAGCAAAAAUUACACUGGUUUAUUACAGUUUGGACUACUCUGCCCCUCUGUUUUGUUGUUGUUGUUGUGGGGCAGACACUUUUCCAGUUUUUCUGCCAACAACAACUUCUUCAUCAAAUCAGCCCCCACUGAUAAUGUCAGGGAUUCCAGGCCGACCCAGUCAUCAGGCAGAGUGAGACAGUAAACCUCAGGCAGCUAAUUUCCAGUGUAGCAAAUGGGUAGCAAAUGGUUGAUGAUUUAAUUCAACCUACUGUUUAAUAUUUCCUCUUUCUGGUAUUUUGUUGCACAGGAUAAUUAAAAUAAAACCCCCACAAAACCAUAAAAAACAAUACAAAUUUUAUGUAUGUAAGUAUUUAUUUAUUUGUCAAAAUUUAUAUACCACUUAAUUGACUAAAACCUUUAAGUCUUUUAAAUAAGACAAUAUAAACUAUUUAUAAUUUUAAAUUAGAAUGAUAAAAAGCAACAUUUAAACAAUAAAUAUAAAAGGGAAAGUAAAGUAAAACAAUACCAGCAGUAAACUAUACCAGCAGUAAACCUUGGUUUUCAAACGCCUCCAUAGUCGGAACGGUUCAGAACUCCCAACGCCUAAAACCCGGAAGUAAGUGCCUCAGUUUUCAAACGUGCCUCAGAAGUUGAACAGGAAACAUGGCUUCCGUUUUGAGCCUUCCGCUUUCAGUUUUUGUUUUUCAAAUGUUUUGGAACUCGGAUGGACUUCUGGAAUGGAUUACGUUCAAAAACUGAGGUAUCACUGUAUUGCAUAAAAACAUUCCAAGGGUAAAGGAUCAGAGUUAAAAGGCCUGCAAGAAUAAAACAGUAUUCAUCUGAUGCCAAAACACCGUGAAAGUAGGGGUCAGGUAAGCCUCUCUGAGGAGGGCAUUCUAUAAGCAAGAGAGGUGACUACUCAAAAGGCUCUCUCUUUCCAGCCAGCCACCUUGAACAUAAUGAAUUUAAUCUCAUGAUGCUGGAGUUCCACUAAAAACAUUGCAACCUUAAAGCUCUCCAACUAUCCUAGGAAGCUUUGAGCAUCUUGUCUCAUAACUUAAAUAAAUACUGCCCACAAAUAAGAUAUUAUUAUGGGAAAGGGAAAAUAGCAAAAUCAAGCGAUAAAUUGAAUAAAGAUGCUGUAAUAAAUUCCUUCAUACUUUUUUCUUCUUUUUUUGCUCUAACAACGUUUUAAUAAUUUGCUAGUUUUAUUGCUCAGGAAUCUAUGAAUACAUGAUUUAUUUGUUUUUCCUUUUAGACCAAGUCAAUCUGUUUCCCCUUUUAGGAUUAUUCCCCACCCCCACUGCCUAAAGAAACAGGUGAAACAACAGCACUUUUGAAAAAUAGGAAAAUGUGACUGUAAAAACUGGCAGGAAUCACUGCAGGUGUUAACUACCUUAUAACAUAUCAAUGUUUUUCAAACCAUUCAGUAGCUAUUAAUGCUAACAAAAUUCUAAUCUGACUCAAAGUGUCCAUAAACUUAGGGUAGCCAGAGGCAAAAGAAAGUAUGGCUCCUGCACCUUAUUCCAUUUAUUCUAGUUAUUUAUUUUUUACUUUUCAAGGCCUGGCUCUCCCAAAGCAAUGCAUAGAGAGAAAUAAAAACAGUAGAAUAUCAGGCAGAAUAAGAAGCAUUGAGUGAAUACCGACAAAUAACACAGUGAAACUGAAUUAGAUCACCUAAACUCACAAGACAAUAAUAAAUUAAUAAGGGUUAGGAGCCAAUCAAACGUAAUCUGGAAGAGAGUUCAACAACUGCUUAGCUGCCACCAUCAAGAUCUUGUCUUCUGACCUUGGCAUGACCUCAAAGAGAUCUUAGAUCACAGACAGGGUCAUUCAUAUGCAGGCAGUCCUUUUGGUAAUUUGGACCCAAAUGGUUUGGGGUCUUAAAGGUUAAUACCAACACUUUGAAUUGGGCUCAGAAACACCAUUGGCAUUAGUGCAGUUGGCCCAGAAAUGGUGUUACAUCUUCAGACCUUCUGGACUCAUUAUAUAUAACAAUAUUUAUAUCUCGCCUUUCAGGACGUAAAACCUACCAAGAUGGUUACAAGUAACAUUCAAUUACCAUUAUUAUUAAAAAUUAACAUUUCUGUAACACAUCAAGAUCAUUCUCACAGGGCAGCUGGUGGAAGAUUGUCUGGUGGGGAGGGGUGAAAGUCCAGCCUUGAGAUUUUCCUUCCCUCUUCUGGAUUUUUUCUCACAGAUCAGUUGAUGCCAGAUUGCCUGUGGGGUGGGUUGGAAUAGUCAUCCUAAACACAGGCCAUAGUUACGGUAAGAUUAACUCAAUUUAGAGUUAGGGUGUAAUGUUAAAACUGACUGUAGUUAAUAAAAAAUAGGCACAAAACUUUCCAAUCUUCUCCUCACAUACCCAUUAGAAGAGAAAGGUGGGAGACCAUAUGCGUCCAAGACUUUCCUAGGCUUGUUUUCACCACACUAACUUAUGGUUUAAAGUGAUGUCCAAGCAUGGCCAUGGCCAGUCACUAAUUACCGUACUUUAUUGCAAUAGUAGAUCUGAGGAUGCUGACGAUUGCUCCUGCCUAGAACCACACUCACAGAGUUCUCUGGAAGAGACAUGGCUGAUAAGGAAUUCCAUACUUGUAGCAUAGACCUAUCUGUUAUAUAUACUGUUACCGUAACUCUUGCAUCUAUACAAACAACUAGUGCAGAUUUUAAAAUAAAAUUAAUUUAAAAUGUCACCUGUCAGAACAUGCAUCCUACCCAGUCUUUAAAUUAUGGGGGGGGGGAAGCAACAGAGUAAAUAACUAGUUUAUAAAUGCAAGCAUUAGCUGAUGUGGUCAGGAUUUGAGAGAGAAAAUAGGGGAAAUGUCACUUUUAAAGCAAGGGUUGCCAGAUCUCGACCCUUUUGAGGGCUUUUAUUAUUGUAAAAGCCCAGUUUACCAUGCGCACAUGCAUGACGAAAUCUUUGGCUCCCUUGACCACAUUGAGAUGCCCAAUGGAAGGAGACUGAAUUUGAAGUGAUAGGAAAGUUCUGUCUGGGGUGUGUUUGAUUUGUCAUAGGUCCUUCACAAAGGCAAGUCAUCACUUGACGCUGCAGACAACCAAAUAAUGAACAUGCCUGUAUGUGUGAAUAAGCCCAAAAUGUUACAUAGAAUGCCUAAUCUUCUUAUAGUUGCAGUAUUGUGUUAAUGUUUUGAUCCCAGCUGCUUCUUUUGUAAACUGCUUUGUGAGGGCUUGGCCCUAAACAGUGAGAUAAUAGUCUUAACAAAAUAACAUAAAAAUAAAUCUGGUGAUGUUUUCCUGUCACUAUGCUGCAGAAAAAGGGAGAACCACAGCUGUUGAAUUUUCCUUUCUCUACAGUCUUAAAGGCACAGAAGUUCUCUAGCUUAUUUAACGUGUGUGCCUGUCCAAGCAGAAGAAAGUCAAUUAAAUGUAAUUAGCACCCCGAUGAGUGCCAGAAUAUUUGUAUGUGUUUUGCAUACCAGACAAAUCUAUACAACAGAUUCCUCUUGCAUGAAACAAAACACGAACACAUGUCUAUCCUAGAGUCUGGUAUGAUUGGCACUCCUGUCAAAACCCUGAUCAACCUCUGGAACAUCCAAACAGCUCUGGAUAUUGAUACAAUCUACCCUGAGCACCCUCUCCUGCUUAGUGAAGCCUGUUUGGCUCCCUGGUAUAUUCCAGAGCUUAUGGUGAGGAAACAAGCUGGGAGACUAAUUGAACGUGAGUGGAGGAAAACUCCAGUUGAAUGCAAUCGAAUGCUGGUGAGGUCUCAUCAUUGAGCCUAGUGGCAGUGAAGGCAGCGAAGAAGAUUCCCUGCUUGUGGAGCACUCUCCCCAGAGAGGCUUGCCUGGUAUCUUUGUUACAUACCGGUAUAUGUAGGUACCAGGCGUAAACAUUCCUCUUUUCCCAGACCUUUGACUAAUUAAACAACCUAUGGCCUUAUAAUCCAGGGGGUUAUUAUUGUUAUGUUUGUUACUAUGCUGUGUAUUUGUUUGUUUUUAUAUUGUAAACCACUGUGAUUCUCAGAUCAAGGGCGGUCUAGAAAUGUUAAUAAUAAUAAUAAUAAUAACAAUAAUAAUAAUAAUAAUACUAUACAGUCUUAGAAGUACCUACAACCUUACACUUCAUACACACACAUGGACAACCUUUUUCUACUUAUUUAUUUUUGAGGAGUCCUCUUGAGUGGUUCACAAAACAUUGUAAAAGUAUACUAACACAUUUUAAUGUUUAUUUCAAAAUAAGUUGCACUUAGGCUGUGCAAACACCAUGUACAGUGGUGCCUCGCUUAACAAAUGCCCUGCUUAACGAAAUUUCCACUUAACGAAAGGAUUUUUCGAGCGGAGCUUGCCUCGCUAGAUGAAUGUGUUUUACGAAAAAAUUGUCUAGAGAAUCGCGGUUUCCCAUAGGAAUGCAUUGAAAUUCAAUUAAUGCAUUCCUAUGGGCAAAAAAAAGGUCGAAAAAAAUUCAGUGCAUUCCUAUGGUAUUCGCUAGACGAAUUUUUCACUAUAAGAAAAGACCUGUGGAAUGAAUUAAUUUCGUCUAGCGAGGCACCACUGUAUUUAAAGCAGAUUCCAUCCCUCCCCCCAAAAGAAUCCUGUGAACUGUAGCUUACUCUUCACAGACCUACCAUUUCCAGCACCCUUCGCAAACUACAGUUCUUAUUGUUCUUUAGAGUGCUUUUUAAAGGUUCGUACAGCCUCAGUUCAGUGGGGCUUUCCAAUGGAGUCUUCCAAGGUAUGCAUGCAGCAGAGCUCCAGGCCUCUAGGGACACGUAUCCAAGUUCAACUGUUCCUGGAUUUUCUGGUUCUGUUACUGAGUAUGAACACAUAUUGGCAAAUUUGUCAGUAACCAGGUUCUUAUCUUCUUCUGCUAUUAUAAUCAGGGAAGUAAAUCUCCUAAUGAAGGCUUUGUGUGAAAAAUAGGACAGAACUCUUGCACCUAUAAUAAUUAAGUAGAAAUGGAAAUGUAAUUCUGUGUAUCUUACUCACGUAAGCCACUGUUGCUAAAAUUCAUUUUGUUCAAUACAACAACUGUAUUAAAGGUGCAGGAACCCAGUCUGAUUUUUAUCUGGUCACUUUAACUUACAUUGACAAAUUUAACAGGACAUCCCUCCAACAAAAAUAAAAUAGGGAAAGUAAUUUUCCAGGGACAGGUUACAUAAAACAGGAACUGUCACUGGUUAAUAGGGGUCACUGGAACAAACAGGGAACAAACAGGGAUGGUUGGCUCAAACUAAAUGAGAUGGCACAGAGUAGGAGACCUGUGGGUUUGUUUGUUUGUUUGUUUGUUUUUAACAGGUGUGUACAGUAAAUAAUUUCAGCAGGUGUAGCUUUCAUAACAACAGCUUUGCCUGCUUAAAUCCCUGCUUCUAUAGAACUAUUUAAGGUGCAGGACCCCACCCUCUUUUGCACCUGGCUAUCCCAGCACACCUGUUUGCCUGAUGUCACCCCCCCCCCAAUAUUGCCUAGCUUAGAGGAAAAUGCUGGGGGUGGAAUCAACAAGAAGGAAAUUAAGGAGUAUCCAUAGGCCCCUAACCAGCAUACAUAUUUUGCAGUAAAAUCAGACUCCACAACGUCUUCUUCGUAUAUCAUUGUGGUAGACCCAGAUUUAAACAAACAGGCCAUUGUCAUGUAUAAUUUGAGCUGAAGCCUGUUACCUAGACUUGUGAGCCACCUGAGACUCAGAUAGCCAACCUGGAUGGCUUUGAAAGAGGAUACAGCAAAUUCAUAAAUGAUAAGGCUACUAGCCAUUAUUAUCUCCACUGUCAGAGGUGGCAUGCUUAUUCUGAGUACCAGUGUCUGGAAACAGCAGGAAGGGAGAGUGCUCAAGUUCUGCUUGCAGGCUUUCCAUAAACAUCUGAUUGGCCAUUGUGAAAACAAGAUGCUGGACUAGAUGGACCAUUGGCCUGAUUCAGGCCUUUUCCAUUCCUAUGGCUGUUUAUGUUUAGGCCUUAGAGUCCUUUUCAGAGCCUUAAUGAGCUUUAACUGCACUGUGACAGCAAACAUUUUCUGGAAGACAUGAGCACAUACAAACACCCACAAGCUAAACUAGCAACUUUUCCAGAAUUUCUAGUUUGUUCCUCUGACAGAACUACUGAGUGCCCAGAAGACUGUGCCGCUAUGAGCUGAGAUAGCUCCAGCUUCACCUUUGGGCACCCUAUUGCUACCCUACAUCUGAGAUGUUUUGUGGUGAUAUACCACAAGCCAAAUUAAGUCUGCCGUGGUGUACAUAUAGGCACAACCAGCUCAGAAUGGGCCAAAACAGCUCCAAGUCAACAUUGCACAAGCUAAGCUUUUCUUGCAUAUGGUUGUGAGUACAGAAAAGGCCAUAGCUCAGUGGUGGAGCAUCUGAUUUGUAUGCAGAAAGCUCCAGGUUCAAUCCCCAGCAUCUCCAGGUAGGGCUGGAAAAGAUUCCCGGUCAGAAACCUGGAUAUCAGCUGCCAGUCAAUGUACACAGUUCUGCGCUAGAUGAAAAAAUGGCCCCACACACUAUAAGAAAGCGUUUCUGUGUACUGAGAACAGCAAUAAUUCAACACCAGAGUCGCAGGCCUCUCCAAUGUAGUACUUGUUCUUGUCAAGCACUCAAGUCAAACCAUUGUGAAGUUUUUAAGCCAAAGUAUGUAUAUAUGUGUGUGUGUGUAUUUUAAAACACAGGUGACAAGAAACUUUGCAAGUAUUUUAAAUAACGUACUAACACCUAUUUUUGAGAACUUCAUUUCGGAAACAGCUCUCUGAUUAAACUCAAGUGUUUCCAUAGAAAUACCGUAUAUUCCGGCAUAUAAGACGACUGGGCGUAUAAGAUGACCCCCAACUUUUCCAGUUAAAAUAUAGUUUGGGAUAUACUCGCUGUAUAAGAAAUACGACCCAGCGUAUAAGACGACCCCCGACUUUUGAGAAGAUUUUCCUGGGUUAAAAAGUAGUCUUAUACGCAGGAAUAUACAGUAAUCCUGUAACCAUAGGCAAUUUUAACAACUGCUGCUGGUAGAUCAGCAGCAUCACACACAACUGAAUUGCCUUUCACUUCUCAGCAUAAAUCAGAGUCAAUCUUAUCAGCUUUUUCCAGCAUACAUCCAGCGUAACUGAGAAGAAAAGCAGACUGUUCAGGGUGAAAAAGCAUUGAUGGGUUUUCCUUAUGUUCAGGUAUCAUCUUCCGAGCUGUAUUUAAAUCUUUAAAUAUUUUAAAUACAAACAUAUAUGACGCAUAUGCUCUAGAUAUAUGUAAUUUAUAUGUAAUUGUGCUUCACUCUGUAGAUUAGGAUGGGAAGCCUAUGUGUCCGUCCUUGGGAGUAGGCUCGAUUGACCAUAAUAGGACUGAGUUUUGAGUAAACACAUGUAGGAUGAGACUGCACAGGUCAUGGACUUGGCUUGUUAAUGUCCAUGGGUGGCUACCUUUUGGGUGUGAGAGCUGCAUCAUGCAGGAGUCACAUGCCAAUUGUCAGUAUGGUCAUCACACAGGCAUGUUCUCUCUCAGGCUCACACACAAACACAGGAUGCACAUAGGCAAACAUAAACACACACACACACACACAGCACCCUUCCUCAACGUCUCCAUGAAUAACAGAUGUGGGGUGUUAUUGCCCCCUCACUGCUGAUCAAAUGACUGAUCUAAUCACCAAGGAGAGGGCAAUUUACACCACCCACCACCACACUGUUUUUACCUACCCCCUCCCCUCUAUAUUUGCUGCUGCUCUAAAAUCCAUGGGGUCUUCGGGGACCUGAACAAUAUUUUAUGGCAGUGAACAAAGCUGUAUUGUAACUUUUGAAUAAAUGGGCAGGAGUCUUGAUAGAAUAAAGUUAUAAACUCAAACAAACAAACAGCCAGGCCUUCUGAGGCCCGGGGUAAGUGUACCCGGCUUUCCCCCACCUUCUGCAUGGGCCUGAUAACAGUGGUUGCUAGUGGGUAUAUUUGGAAUUUUUAGGA